rnacentral:rRNA from 1 species
GACGAACGCUGGCGGCGUGCCUAAUACAUGCAAGUCGGGCGGGCCUCCGGAGGUGCUUGCACCUCCGGAAGGCCAGCGGCGGACGGGUGAGUAACACGUGGGCAACCUGACUUUGAGGCCGGGAUACCACCGGGAAACCGGUGCCAAUACCGGAUACGUCCUCUUUCGCGCCUGCGAGCGGGGCGAGAGACGGUCUUUAAGGACGUCGCUCACAGAGGGGCCCGCGGCGCAUUAGCUGGUUGGUGGGGGAAGGGCCUACCAAGGCGACGAUGCGUUGCCGACCUGAGAGGGUGAUCGGCCACACUGGGACUGAGACACGGCCCAGACUCCUGCGGGAGGCAGCAGUAGGGAAUCAUCCGCAAUGGGCGAAAGCCUGACGGUGCAACGCCGCGUGAGUGAGGAAGGUUUUCGGAUCGUAAAGCUCUGUUGUGAGGAAAGAACAGCUUCCGGAGGAAAUGCCGGAGGUUUGCCGGUACCUCACCAGAAAGCCCCGGCUAACUACGUGCCAGCAGCCGCGGUAA